AUGAAUAACUGGGUCAGAGACUCCCACUUACUUGUUGGUCUUCCCUGGGCACUUCUCAUCCUUGUCCUCGUCCCCGGCACUAGUGGUGAUUGGAGUUGGGAAGGCUUGCCAUCAGUCUUGAAGUCUCAGAGGAGACCACGUUCAGUCUGGCUCUCUGGUGGCCCACCAGAUGUCAACAGAACUGCUAGGCUACAAGGCCUCAGUCAAACAGGGUUCCGUCUACGGGAUAUGAACUCUCUGGUCUGUCCAAAGCUCGAUUUUAAAGAGUGGACAGCCAUCACUGCUGACAACCUUCUUCAGUUCUCUGGGCCUGGCAUGAAUGGGAACAUAUCUCCUGAAGCACCUCAGUUAAGCGAAUCAGGACCGCCAGCCUCUCCCACAGCCCCCUCUCCGUCCCACAGCUCCCCGAGUAACGAGCACCCAGGGUCUCCCUUGGUGACAAACAUGCAGCUGCAGAAGUUUAAUAACCAGUACCAGGGGGGGCCUGGCACAGAGGCCCCAGAGGAGGAAACUCCCAUGCCAAACUGGCCAGUGGGGGGGAGCCAGCCAGAGGAGUCUGAGACUGCCUCUGACGAGUCUAUAACCCCAAUCUCAUUGAUUCUGACCCCAUAGAUGAGGAGGUCCUUAUGUCCCUGGUGUGGAGUUGGGACUGGACCAAGCUGGGGAGCUGCCCCGAGCUCUGGUUGGGCCAGGAUGAGUUUGAUUUCACUACUGAUGUGCCCUCCAGCUGAAGCAAUAGGCACUCCAUGGGUAGAGGAUGUCUGUGUACAUGGGGGGGGGGGAUGGGGGGGGGAGUACACGGAAAUGGGUCCCAGUUCAGCUGGACUCCCUCCCUAGUAAGCUCCUGUGUCUUGUGAUUUCUUGUAAAUACCAAUAAAAAAGGUUUUGCCCUGGUGGCA
rnacentral:lncRNA from 1 species